GGAAACCCUGACGCAGCGACGCCGCGUGUAGGAAGAAGGCCUUCGGGUCGUAAACUACUGUCAAGAGGGAAGAAACUGUUGGACAUUAAUACGGUCCAUCACUGACGGUACCUCUAGAGGAAGCACCGGCUAACUCCGUGCCAGCAGCCGCGGUAAUACGGAGGGUGCGAGCGUUAAUCGGAAUCACUGGGCGUAAAGCGUGCGUAGGCGGCGUGUCAAGUCAGACGUGAAAGCCCUCGGCUCAACCGGGGAAUUGCGUUUGAAACUGAUAUGCUAGAGUCUCGGAGAGGUUGGCGGAAUUCCAGGUGUAGGAGUGAAAUCCGUAGAUAUCUGGAGGAACACCGGUGGCGAAGGCGGCCAACUGGACGAGUACUGACGCUGAGGUACGAAAGCGUGGGUAGCAAACAGGAUUAGAUACCCUGGUAGUCC
rnacentral:rRNA from 6 species